CUCUUCCGAGCCGGGUCGCGACCUUGAGGCUGGGAGUCGGGUUUCGGAGCGUGCCGGGCCUUCGCCCGCCCUGCAGCCCCCUUUCUCACCAUGGCCGCGGCCCGGAACCUGCGCACCGCGCUCAUAUUCGGAGGCUUCAUCUCUAUGGUCGGAGCCGCCUUCUACCCUAUCUACUUCCGGCCCCUUCUGCGGCUGGAAGAAUACCAGAAGGAGCAGGCUGUAAAUCGAGCUG
rnacentral:lncRNA from 1 species